UACGUAGGGAGCAAGCGUUGUCCGGAAUCAUUGGGCGUAAAGGGCGCGUAGGCGGCUAGAUGUGUCAAAGGUGAAAUCCCUCGGCUCAACUGAGGAACUGCCUUUGAAACUGUCUGGCUUGAGGCCGGGAGAGGGUAGCGGAAUUCCCAGUGUAGCGGUGAAAUGCGUAGAUAUUGGGAGGACCACCAGUGGCGAAGGCGGCUACCUGGACCAACACUGACGCUGAGGAGCGAAAGCCAGGGGAGCAAACGGG
rnacentral:rRNA from 1 species